rnacentral:tRNA from 1 species
UUGGCGGGAGCUCCUGGUUCCUUUGCGGGGUCCUCCGCUCCGGCCGGGGGUGGGCAGACCAUCGCUCUCGGGCCGCGUGCGGAUCCCGCCGCCCGA